UUCUAGGUGUGACAAGUUGUUUGGACAGCAGAACCUUUUAAGGGGUCCCAUACCCAACUAAAAGCCUUUUGAUUUCUUUUCUCUCCCACACCCAACUUUGAAACACACACACACACACACACACACCCUCAUUUGGCUCCUUUUGUUAUAAAUGAGUGGGCUUGGAGGAUAAAGAAUUGCAGAUGGGUGUCCCAAAUUCUCCAUUCUAAGACUACCCCCACCAAAUUUCUCACUCCCACUCCCCUCUCUUUCUCUCUCUCACCAUUUUUCCUCUGUAGCUUAGGCUCUCCAAACUUCGACAUGAGGGAAAAGAAGGUGUGUGUAGAGCAAGAUGGAGAAGCAGGGCACGUGCAUUACUAACUCAUUUGGAUUUUUGGGCUUCCAUGUAUUUUGGCUUCUGGGGAUCGGAGAGCGAGAGAGAGAGUUAUUGAUGCUAUGGCUAAAAGGGGUUCCUUAAUUAUGUUUGUUAGCUUUCAGUGAGUUAGUUCUUCAUGUGCCCGUCUUCCCCAUCAUGACCACUGCACCUUGUACUGUUUUUUCACCUUUCUUAAUGAUUACCCAGGUGAACAAUCAUGCAGACAAUUCACAUCAAGAUGGCCAAAAUGCUCUAUUUUCAGAUGCUUUAGUAGUACUGAAGAUGGUUUUGCAUGGACAAGCAAUUUUUUUUCCCCUAAUGAUUUACUGCAAUUCUUACUUAAGAAAUUAUGGAGUUUGGAUGGCUUUCAGCAUAAGAUGGUUUUUAGCCCCAGUCUCCAAUAGUAGGGGUAGAUCGAAAUUACACUGAAAUGACAGAAGGAUUUAUAUACAUCAUAUAUAUAUUUAUAUAUAUAUAGAUAUAUAAAUUUUCCCACUAAGGAGAAGACCUAUUCACCGACAAAAUUCAAGGUUUGAAAAGGAAAAGGCAAAUGAAAAGGGACAGGCAUCAAUAUGAUCUUUGGACGGUUCAAUGAUUUCGCUGAAAAAGUGUAAAAAGUGAGUCAAUAUUGCUUAUUUUGGUGAUUUUCAUCUUAUUCUACUCCAAUUUAUUGAGUAAAAUGAAUUUUUAUAUUUAAUCAAGCCAGUAUCA